UCCUUACUGUAGCAGCACGUAAAUAUUGGAGUUAAGACUUGCUGAAGCCUCCAAUAUUGAUCGUGCUGCUGAAGCAAAGC
rfam:Gasterosteus aculeatus cont1.005346, whole genome shotgun sequence.